rnacentral:rRNA from 1 species
GAUGAACGCUGGCGGCGUGCCUAAUACAUGCAAGUCGAGCGAACGGACGAGAAGCUUGCUUCUCUGAUGUUAGCGGCGGACGGGUGAGUAACACGUGGAUAACCUACCUAUAAGACUGGGAUAACUUCGGGAAACCGGAGCUAAUACCGGAUAAUAUUUUGAACCGCAUGGUUCAAAAGUGAAAGACGGUCUUGCUGUCACUUAUAGAUGGAUCCGCGCUGCAUUAGCUAGUUGGUAAGGUAACGGCUUACCAAGGCAACGAUGCAUAGCCGACCUGAGAGGGUGAUCGGCCACACUGGAACUGAGACACGGUCCAGACUCCUACGGGAGGCAGCAGUAGGGAACCUUCCGCAAUGGGCGAAAGCCUGACGGAGCAACGCCGCGUGAGUGAUGAAGGUCUUCGGAUCGUAAAACUCUGUUAUUAGGGAAGAACAUAUGUGUAAGUAACUGUGCACAUCGUGACGGUACCUAAUCAGAAAGCCACGGCUAACUACGUG